AGGCAGCAGUAGGGAAUUUUCGUCAAUGGCGCAAGCCUGAACGAGCGAUGCCGCGUGAGUGAAGAAGGCCUUCGGGUCGUAAAGCUCUGUUGCGGGGGAAAAAAGGCAGCAUCAGGAAAUGGGUGCUGACUGAUGGUGCCCCGCCUAGAAAGUCACGGCUAACUACGUGCC
rnacentral:rRNA from 1 species